rnacentral:rRNA from 1 species
AUACGUAGGGGGCGAGCGUUGUCCGGAAUUACUGGGCGUAAAGGGUGCGUAGGCGGAUAUGCAAGUCCGAUGUGAAAGACUUCGGCUUAACCGAGGAGCUGCAUUGGAAACUGCAUAUCUAGAGUGCAGGAGAGGGAAGCGGAAUUCCUAGUGUAGCGGUGAAAUGCGUAGAUAUUAGGAGGAACACCAGUGGCGAAGGCGGCUUCCUGGACUGUAACUGACGCUGAGGCACGAAAGCUGGGGGAGCAAACAGGAUUAGAUACCCUGGUAGUCCCAGCCGUAAACGAUGGGUACUAGGUGUUGCUGCUGUUAAGGCGGCAGUGCCGGAGCUAACGCAAUAAGUACCCCGCCUGGGGAGUACGGCCGCAAGGCUGAA